CACGUGGGAAACCUGCCCAGAAGCGGGGGAUAACACCUGGAAACAGAUGCUAAUACCGCAUAACAACUUGGACCGCAUGGUCCGAGUUUGAAAGAUGGCUUCGGCUAUCACUUUUGGAUGGUCCCGCGGCGUAUUAGCUAGAUGGUGGGGUAACGGCUCACCAUGGCAAUGAUACGUAGCCGACCUGAGAGGGUAAUCGGCCACAUUGGGACUGAGACACGGCCCAAACUCCUACGGGAGGCAGCAGUAGGGAAUCUUCCACAAUGGACGAAAGUCUGAUGGAGCAACGCCGCGUGAGUGAAGAAGGGUUUCGGCUCGUAAAACUCUGUUGUUAAAGAAGAACAUAUCUGAGAGUAACUGUUCAGGUAUUGACGGUAUUUAACCAGAAAGCCACGGCUAACUACGUGCCAGCAGCCGCGGUAAUACGUAGGUGGCAAGCGUUGUCCGGAUUUAUUGGGCGUAAAGCGAGCGCAGGCGGUUUUUUAAGUCUGAUGUGAAAGCCUUCGGCUCAACCGAAGAAGUGCAUCGGAAACUGGGAAACUUGAGUGCAGAAGAGGACAGUGGAACUCCAUGUGUAGCGGUGAAAUGCGUAGAUAUAUGGAAGAACACCAGUGGCGAAGGCGGCUGUCUGGUCUGUAACUGACGCUGAGGCUCGAAAGUAUGGGUAGCAAACAGGAUUAGAUACCCUGGUAGUCCAUACCGUAAACGAUGAAUGCUAAGUGUUGGAAGGUUUCCGCCCUUCAGUGCUGCAGCUAACGCAUUAAGCAUUCCGCCUGGGGAGUACGGCCGCAAGGCUGAAACUCAAAGGAAUUGACGGGGGCCCGCACAAGCGGUGGAGCAUGUGGUUUAAUUCGAAGCUACGCGAAGAACCUUACCAGGUCUUGACAUACUAUGCAAAUCUAAGAGAUUAGACGUUCCCUUCGGGGACAUGGAUACAGGUGGUUGCAUGGGUUGUCCUCAAGCUCCUGUCCUGGAAAUAUUUGGGUUUAAAUCCCCCAACCAAGCGCCACCCCUUAUUAUCAUUUUCCCACCAUUAAAUUUGGGCCCU
rnacentral:rRNA from 1 species